rnacentral:rRNA from 1 species
GACGAACGCUGGCGGCGUGCUUAACACAUGCAAGUCGAACGGAAAGGCCCUGCUUUUGUGGGGUGCUCGUGUGGCGAACGGGUGAGUAACACGCGAGUAACCUGCCCUUGACUUUGGGAUAACUUCAGGAAACUGGGGCUAUUACCGGAUAGGAGAUCCUGCAGCAUGGUGUGGGUUGGAAAGUUUCGGCGGUUGGGGAUGGACUAGCGGCUUAUCAGCUUGUUGGUGGGGUAGUGGCUUACCAAGGCUUUGACGGGUAGCCGGCCUGAGAGGGUGACCGGCCACAUUGGGACUGAGGUACGGCCCAGUCUCCUACGGGCGGCAGCAGUGGGGAAUAUUGCACAAUGGGCGGAAGCCUGAUACAGCAACGCCGCGUGCGGGAUGACGGCCUUCGGGUUGUAAACCGCUUUCGCCUGUGACGAAGCGUGAGUGACGGUAAUGGGUAAAGAAGCACCGGCUAACUACGUG